rnacentral:rRNA from 1 species
UACGAAGGGUGCAAACGUUGCUCGGAAUCAUUGGGCGUAAAGCGCACGUAGGCGGCGCAGUAAGUCGGACGUGAGAUCCCUCGGCUCAACCGAGGACGUGCAUCCGAAACUACUGUGCUCGAGUAUGGAAGAGGGUCGCGGAAUUCUCGGUGUAGAGGUGAAAUUCGUAGAUAUCGGGAGGAACACCAGUGGCGAAGGCGGCGACCUGGGCCAAUACUGACGCUGAGGUGCGAAAGCGUGGGGAGCAAACAGGG